UACGGAGGGUGCGAGCGUUGUCCGGAAUCACUGGGCGUAAAGAGCUCGUAGGCGGCUUGUCGCGUCGACUGUGAAAUCCCGCGGCUCAACUGCGGGUCUGCAGUCGAUACGGGCAGGCUAGAGUUCGGUAGGGGAGACUGGAAUUCCUGGUGUAGCGGUGAAAUGCGCAGAUAUCAGGAGGAACACCGAUGGCGAAGGCAGGUCUCUGGGCCGAUACUGACGCUGAGGAGCGAAAGCGUGGGGAGCGAACAGG
rnacentral:rRNA from 1 species